rnacentral:rRNA from 1 species
AUUGAACGCUAGCUACAGGCUUAACACAUGCAAGUCGAGGGACCGGCGCACGGGUGAGUAACACGUAUCCAACCUGCCCUUUACUCGGGGAUAGCCUUUCGAAAGAAAGAUUAAUACCCGAUAUAAAGGAUGGGGAUGCGUUCCAUUAGGUUGUUGGGGAGGUAACGGCUAACCAAGCCUUCGAAGGAUAGGGGUGAUGAGAGGAAGGUCCACCACAUUGGAUCUGAGGCACAGUCCAAACUCCGAGGGGAGGCAGGGGUGAAGAACAUUGGUGAAUGUGCGCUAGCCUGAACCAGCCAAGUAGCGUGAAGGAGAAGGUCUUAUGGGUGGUAAACUUCUUUUGUAGAAGAAAAUGUAUUAUAUGAAUAAGGAUCGGCUAACUCCGUGCCAGCAGCCGCGGUAAUAC